GUGGGGAAUAUUGGACAAUGGGGGCAACCCUGAUCCAGCCAUGCCGCGUGAAUGAUGAAGGCCUUCGGGUUGUAAAGUUCUUUUGGCAGGGACGAUGAUGACGGUACCUGCAGAAUAAGCUCCGGCUAACUUCGUGCCAGCAGCCGCGGUAAUACGAAGGGAGCUAGCGUUGUUCGGAAUUACUGGGCGUAAAGGGCGCGUAGGUGGCUUGGCAAGUUGGGUGUGAAAGCCCAGGGCUCAACCCUGGAAUUGCACUCAAGACUGUCUUGCUUGAAUUCGGUAGAGGUUGGUGGAAUUCCCAGUGUAGAGGUGAAAUUCGUAGAGAUUGGGAAGAACACCCGUGGCGAAGGCGGCCAACUGGACCGACAUUGACACUGAGGCGCGAAAGCGUGGGGAUCAAACAGGAUUAGAUACCCUAGUAGUCC
rnacentral:rRNA from 1 species